GGACUGGAGUCUGCAACCCGACUCCACGAAGUUGGAUUCGCUAGUAAUCGCGCAUCAGCCAUGGCGCGGUGAAUACGUUCCCGGGCCUUGUACACACCGCCCGUCAAGCCAUGGGAGCCGGGGGCGCCUGAAGUCCGGGACCGCGAGGACCGGCCUAAGGCGAAACUGGUGACUGGGGCUAAGUCGUAACAAGGUAUC
rnacentral:rRNA from 1 species